UUUCUCUUUCUAUGCAAAAGCAGUUCUUGAAAAUACUGAAGGGAAGGAAAGCUCUAGACAACUUCUAUUUGCCCAUAACAUGUCUGCAAUCAGCAAUGGUAUCAAGAAGGUCAAGGCUUGAAGAUUGUUCUACACAUCAAACAAAAUAAGUUCAGAGCUGUGAUGGAGUAUCAGACAUAUAGACAGCUACAAAUCAAGCAGUACAGACAAUUUCUUAUUAUCACCAUUGAAGAGAAACAGACCUGAAAGUGUUCCCGCAGGUCAACUAAGCUGCUGGAGGAGUGCACUGAAAAGCUGAACCUGAACAUGGCUGCACAAUGAGUGUGCCUUGGCAGGCGACACUGAAGCGCUAGAACCUAAAGAUGUACCCCAUGAUGCUGACAUUUAUAUUUCAGUGGAAGAGACCUUUAUAGAUCCAUUCAAAAAAAAUUAAAGACCAUCUGUCAUUAAUGAGGAAAGUAACUUGGACAGUGAAUGGCCUGGUUCUUCAUAAUGGUGUCAAGAAAAAGAAAACCAAAUCUGUCAUUUCCAACUGCAUGUAAAAAAUUGUUGAGAAGAAAUCUGACAGAUGUAUAGUGUUUAAGAACUGCACAGGGCAGGAUAACUAUGUUGCAUCACCAAAUCAAAUUGAAAAGAUUUUAGGUGAUCGUACACUAAGAAUAUAUUAUUAUCUCACUGGAGAAUGGAAAGUCAACAUGUGUGGGGAAAACACUGGCAAUAUCAUAAAUGCUCCUCUGCUUGACAGAUGCCUGCAAAAUUCCAUCACACCUUUGCAUGGACCUGUUUGGGUCUUUAAGAGAGAAGGUUUCAGCCUCUCAGGAGCAAAGAUAAAUAUCCCAGGACUUCUAUUGGCCCUGCACCAAUGAUUAAAGUCUGCAAACUGUUGCAAACAGGUAAGUUGUCCCACUCUUUAAAAGUCUGCUUUUCUGUUUUCAUUUUGCAAUGUACUAAUUCUAUAAAAACAAUGAUUGGCACUUUGUCAUAAAGAAGUGUGACGUAUUGUAUAAGCUGCAUUACCUGUUAGGAAUAUGAAAUAUAUAAUCACAAAGCCAAACAAUAAAGGAGCUAAUCGUGUUUCUGUUUUUGGUAUGGGAUGUCGUAGAUUUCCCGUUUUCUUGCUGCUUACUGUGCUUAGCUGUGAUGCUCCUUAUGUAGUUGUUCUCUAAAGCAAUACUUUUUCAUAGCUUGUUCUGCACAUGCAGUUUUUAAUGGUCUGAUGGAUCUUCCCAUAAAACUAAUUUCAGUAAUUAUAUAGAUGAAACAUUUCUUUGAUAAAUAAUAUACAUAUAAAUAUAACUGGUGUUGCAUUAUGAAAAAAUUAAAUAACUAUAUAAUAUUUACAGCCCCCCACAUUUAAUUACUAUACAUGUACUGUUAAAUAAAUAAACCAGAAAUGCAUUUUAAUUUGAAAAAAAAAGUAGAAUACAGAUCGUGAAUAUAUUGUUUAACAGCAUGGGUGCAAUAGGAUGAUUUUUUUUCUAACCAAGUGUUUUAUUUUAGGAGAUAAAAGUAAAAGAAAACGAUGAUCUUGUUCAGGGUAGUUACUUAAGUUCCUUUUAUACAUGUAAGAAUGUAUACAUUUUUAAAGAUUAGGUGAGUUGUUUAUAAAAAAUAGUAGCCAUACAGAUUUUCCAGGAAAAAUACUAUAUAGAAAUUAAACAACCAGCUAGGAAACUAGGAUUUAAAAAUGAUCUCAGGCCACAGAGUUAAGAAUGGCUGUAUCAGAUAGAUCAUACUACCAGUCUAUGUAGGAAGGGGGAGGAGAGGUGCAAACGAAGUGUCAGUCACACUGUUUAUACAGCACCUCCUGCUGUCAGAUCCAUAAAGAGAAAUGAGAAUUGACUUUAGAAGAGACUAUUGCUGUCUAGAGUUAAUAGUGGUCAGCAAGAAGAAAUAAAAUAAUAAAAACAAGCAAACAAACAAAAAAACACCAACAAACCAAAACCAAAAAUGAGUGAGCAUGUGAAAAAGAAAAGCUUGUUUCAAACAGUACAGUGAUAUAUUAAAGACUGAGAAAUAUCUUUACACAUUUUAUUGAUAAUUCUUCACUUUUAAGACUAUGUUGCCUGUCAUAAAGGCCACAGAAAUUAGAUGUAUUAAUUUCCAGUGUCUUAACAUAUAUUUACUCAUCUAGGAAAUAUAUAUAAAAUGCUUACAAGUAUUUAGCAAGUAUAAUAGUAAUUAGUAGAAUAAAGCAGACAAUGGAGCUUUUAAAUGAAAAUUCAUAUGCAAGUCAUUUAUUGACUAGUUUUUGCUCUUCUCUGUGAAGAACAUAUAAAGACAUUUCAGUAAAUUAACUUAUGUUAAUCAUUCCUCUGGUGAUUAUGUGGCAGUAUUCAGUUGGAAAUUGUAAAUGACAAGAAAAAUAUAAUAAUUUUAGUAGAUUUGAAAUCUCUUCUGAAGGCAAAUGGUUCUUUUUAAUGAAAGGCUUGCAUAUAGACAUAUGUGCAUUAUAACAUU